UGGUGUGGCUAUUCGGGAGCCCACGUGGUUGGCAUAGGUGCCCUUGUGCCUUGGUGGGGCUCCUUGAAGACCUCACACAAUACUUGAAAUUGCAUAUUGCGCACAAUCUUGUUCUUACACAGCGGAAGACCCUCAUCCUGUUGCUCACUCCAUGGCUCUAUAAAAGCAAUUUUUUUCACUCCCCGGCUUUGCAGGAGCCAGGUGUGCAUUCCAUAAUAUGCCUAUUAUAUAGCCAUUCACAGUAGCCAUUGCUUAUACAAGGACACUUCUGAUUUGUCCUAUUGCAUGGUUGCCAAGGACUUCAGUCCCCACCCAGUACAACUUCAGGUAUGCAUUUCACAUAUAUUUUCAGGCAAAAGAAAAAGAAAAAAAGAAAAAAAAGCAUUCCUCUCCCGCCCCGCCCCGUCCCGUCCCCCCAUGCCUCUUUGUUUUAAGACACACAAAAGUAACUGGCAGUUUUCUUCCCCCAAACCUAUGUGCCUGCAGCGCGGGGGCCCUAAAAAAGGAACCCUGUUUCCCUCCACCCAGGUUUCUGGUUUCUCCACCCUGUCUCCCCACAGUCCUUCACUCCCUGCACCCUGUUCUUCCGGCCUCCACCCAGACUGGAGAAGUGGCCCGACAUUCCAGGUAACCUGAUUCCCCAGACAGGAGAGGCGGGGGCCUGAUGCUGGGAAGGCGCGGCCACGUGACCUUUUCUGCCCGCCAAGGGAAAUGCAUACCUUACUCCGAAAACUAGGGGACAGCUCUCUUAAGGAAGGUCAUGGAUUUCCUAACAUGUAUCUGACGAUUACACAUCUCUGUUUAAAAGAAGACAGACAUCUGCAGAAGACACGAGCUUUAAAGGUGAUUUCAAGCUGUAUUAUUGCUUCCUCUCAGUUCCUGCUUGUGCUAAUGAUUGGGGCUUUUGAUAAGCUGCAUCAUCCUUCCUAUAUCUAUAAUGUUAGGCCUUUGGCAUUUAUGGAGAGAACGUUGCCUGUUUCAUCUAUUCACGAGGUGUCCUUAAAAGCCCGUGAUAUGUAUAAUUUGUGUCUCCAUCAGUCCCAGGUCUCUGAAAUUUUGUCUUGUGUGUGGGAGCAAGCUCCUUAUGCAGUGAAUGAACUGCCCACCUACCUCAGUGUGAUUCUGUUGUUCUUCACAGAUCUCAGUUGAUACAGUCCAUGACGCUUGUCAACUGCUCAACAUUUUGUUCCUUGUGAGAAAAUGGAUCCGUAGAGGAAGUCAUAGUUUGAUGGAAAUGAUAAGUAAAGUUUUAAGGAAAUGAAAGUUCUUUUUUUUUUUUUAAGUUUAUUUAUUUGAGAGAGAGAGAAAGAGAGAGAGUGGGGGAGGGGCAGAGAGAGGGAGAGAGAGAGAAUCCCGAACAGGCUCCACACUGUCAGUGCAGAGCCUGAUGCUGGGCUCAACUCGCAAACCAUGAGAUCAAGACCUGAGCUGAAAUCAAGAGUUGGACGCUUGGCCGACUGAGCCACCCAGGCACCCCAGGAAAUGAAAGUUGUUAGCCAGGAAGUAUUUUCACAGAAUUUGUAGUCCUAUAUUUUUAACUUCAUUAACUUAUUAAGAAGCCAAAAGAGUUACUUAGACUUCUCAAAUGUGCUUUCCUACAUGUCAUGAUGGAUGUUAAAUGCUAUAGUGAUAUUUGAGAAUUUGAGGGCUGCCUCAGUUGCUCAGUGGGUUGAAUGUCCAACUCAUGAUCCCCAGGGUUGUGGGAUUGAGCCCUUCAUCAAGCUCUGUGCUGAGCAUGCAGCCUGCUUGUUUAUUCUCUCUCUCUCUCUCUCCCUCAACCUCUCUCCACUGCUCUUGUGUGCUCUUUAUUUCUCUCUCUAAAAUUAAAAAAAAAAAAGAAUGAGAGAAUUUGUAUGUUAAAACCUUUUUGGGGUCAUGGAUUUGGUUUUUCAUUUUUGCUAUGCUUAAGAUAUCCUGGAAAAUAUUUUCUAGAUUAUCACGCUGUUAAAGUUAUUUUUUAUUACUUGUUUGGGGACAAGCGCUGACAUAGGCCCAUAACAUUUAAAUGAACGGUAUUGAGAUGAAUGACACAAACAAUAGAUUCAUAGCAUCGCUAAGCCAUGGAGCAGCUACAUAGAUAAAUGGAUAAGCCUUGAUUAGAAAAACGUAGAAAUUAAAAAGCAUUCGGAGGCAAUUAUUCAUAUUGCAAAAGAAUUCCUCUCUGUAAGAGAGGGUUGGCUACAGGUUAUGCGUCAGGUAUGGGUGGUGUUUCUUUGGUUCUUUAAUUGAGGUUGUUCUGCCAGUUAAGUACAGACCACUCCCAAGCAUCUUCUUCCUUUCCACCCCCAUACCCGCCUCCUCUUUUCUUUUGGACUCCUUUCUUCCAAUUCAAUUAUUCCAAAGCCAGCAUAACAAGUGGGUGCGGAGGAGGAAGGAACUAAAAAUGUAAUAAAAGUCUUCACUGUUUUAUGUACA
rnacentral:lncRNA from 1 species